AAUCAGCACUCGCGAUAAACAAUAUGUCUGCGGCCGAAAGGACACGCCCACCACUUGUUGGCACGAACUGUCUUUAGCGCCUUCUUAUCCAUAGUCCAAGUGACCGAUAGUGACUCACCUUACGCAUUUACACUUCACUGAACCAGACUUCUCAAGAAUAUGGGACUUCAGCACUCCAAGAAAGAAGAAAAGAAAUCAAAGAAGAAGGCAAAGAAGAAAGUUUCUAGUUAUGCUAAGAGUUCGUCAUUCGGCGGUGGCUUUGACAUCGGCGGAAGUCAUGAUGACAGUGUGAAUGAUGUCCAAAGUCAUGGUGGACAUUCAAGUGGAGGACACUGUCACUUUGGAGACUGGAGUGGAGGAGACUGUUACAGCGGAGGAGGGUUUGACAGCGGAGGGGGGUGUGACAGUGGAGGAGGGUGUUGUGACAGCGGAGGAGGUUGUGACUGAAAAUUUAACAAGACAAAACUUUGUAUCAGGCUUAAUAUCUGUUUUCUUGUUUUUAAUGUUUGGCCAUAAAAUCUAAAUGUGUAUGUGUAAAUCAGUUUAUAUGUAAAAGUUGAUCUACAAAAACAAUGAAUUUUGUUCUCAAAAGUUUAUACUUUUUCCAUUCAUAAACACACACCUGACAAAUGCUAUAUAGACUAAACAUAUUUCUCAAACAUUUUUCUGUUUUUAAAUGAAGCAAUCAUAAUAAAGUCUUUUUUGUUAUUUUUUUCACAAAAAUUGAAAAUAAAGAAUUGUAAUCUGUGUUACUCAUA